rnacentral:misc_RNA from 1 species
AGGAACCUCUUCCCUCUCUAUGGAGAAUACACCACAAAGCCACAGAAUUACUUCAGAUUAAUCAAUGAAGCAUGCACACUGCUGUGCUUGAGGGUGGGGUCAGCCCUGCUGCUGAGGGAGGUGUUGAUGUCAGAGGAGAGUAGACUGGAGAAAGAGCAGGCCCUCCAGGACCUGGGGGUGUACAAACUGACCCCCCAACGGGCGCUCAACGUCCUCAACUCACGGACCAACCUGUCAGUGACCUGAUAAGUCAACAAUACUCCAUUGACAUCUUUUGUUUGUAUCGGUGAAGUAACUCUAAUGUCUUUCAUUAUGCACUUGAAUGAGUGCUGUGUACAGUUCUGUGUAUGUUUUUUUAUUUCAUAGGUAUAGUGAAUCCUACAUUUACUUAUUGUACCUGUAUGUUCAUUAUUUGAAUCAUGAUUUGUAUUUGAGAAAUAAUCUUUGAGGUGAGGGAUCUUUGAGAUAGUUUGACUAAUCAGCACGUACUGAAGCAAAGUCGUAUGUCCUUGCUAUGUCCAGUCUAAAUCUAUCUCACUGACAACUAUAGCACAUUGCUGAGAAAGACUUCUGGUGGAAUAUUUCCCCCUAUGAAUUCUUUGUAUGGACCUAAUAAUUUAUGAUACUAUAGCAUACAUGUAUAUCUUACUUUUUAAUGAAACACUGGUAAAGCGUAUGUGAUCAUUUACAUAAAAAAAGAAGAUAAGAUGAUAGAAUACCAGAAGUUCUUAUGUUCACAUUUCCAUUUACUAAGGGAUCAGAAAAGAUUAAGUACCAGUACACAAAGCUAUUGCUGCUAAUGACCAUAAAGUAUUCUCUUGAUCUUAACCAAGGUCAUGAUGAGACAAAGUAUGUUAUCCUAUGUUUCCGAUCAUUAAUUUUGUUGGUGUUACAAGCAGGUACUUUAUCUGUGGAAGGAACUUGUACCUUACUAUAGUUUGUUUUUUGUUUGUUGUUGAAGUACCUAAGGCAUACAAUGAGAGAGAUUGUGUAGAAAGGUACAGCUGUAUUUGUUUACAUCAUACAGUAUGUAUGACUAUUUUAUCAACCAAUGUUAAUCUUUGAGGGCACUGUAUGAAUAAUAAAAUGUGGAAACCU